rnacentral:rRNA from 1 species
UACGAAGGGUGCUAGCGUUGUUCGGAAUCACUGGGCGUAAAGCGCGCGUAGGCGGCUUAACAAGUCAGGGGUGAAAUCCCACAGCUCAACUGUGGAACUGCCUUUGAAACUGUUGGGCUAGAGUGUCGGAGGGGAUAGCGGAAUUGCUAAUGUAGAGGUGAAAUUCGUAGAUAUUAGCAGGAACACCGGUGGCGAAGGCGGCUAUCUGGACGACAACUGACGCUGAGGCGCGAAAGCGUGGGGA